rnacentral:lncRNA from 1 species
GAAUUCCAAAGCUUUAUGGGCGCCCUUCCGUCCGGAGCUCCCUGGAGCUGCGCCUCGUGGGCUGUGAUUUACACAGGGGCUGAGGCUUGGGCCUGAGUUGGUUCCAGAUCAUAGGGACUGUGACAAGGCUGAAGACCCUUCUCCCUAUCCCAGGAGGAGCCCAGGAACGCAAGCGAGAGCCUCUGCAAGUCACCCCAGCUGCCGCGUUUCCACCCAGGAGGAAGACGCACGUGGGGCGGCACGAGAGAUAGACGGAGG